rnacentral:rRNA from 1 species
AUUGAACGCUGGCGGCAUGCCUUACACAUGCAAGUCGAACGGUAACAGGUCUUCGGAUGCUGACGAGUGGCGAACGGGUGAGUAAUACAUCGGAACGUGCCCGAGAGUGGGGGAUAACGAGGCGAAAGCUUUGCUAAUACCGCAUACGAUCUCAGGAUGAAAGCAGGGGACCGCAAGGCCUUGCGCUCACGGAGCGGCCGAUGGCAGAUUAGGUAGUUGGUGGGAUAAAAGCUUACCAAGCCGACGAUCUGUAGCUGGUCUGAGAGGACGACCAGCCACACAGGGACUGAGACACCGCACAGACUCCUACGGGAGGCAGAAGUGGGGAAUUUUGGACAAUGGGCGCAAGCCUGAUCCAGCCAUGCCGCGUGCAGGAUGGAGGCCUUCGGGUUGUAACCUGCUUUUGUACGGAACGAAAAGACUCCUUCUAAUAAAGGGGGUCCAUGACGGUACCGUAAGAAUAAGCACCGGCUAACUACGUGCCAGCCGCCGCAGUAACAC